AGCGUGUGCUCUACGUCAGUGUUCCCGGAACACGUGAAAAUAUUGUGUCAAGUGUCAUGCCUCUCACUAAACAGAACAGUAAGUAUCAGUCGUCACCCUCUAAAUGUUAAUUUAAACAUCUGAGACUGUGGAGUAAAUGUGUGAGGCAGGAUUAACCCUGUAACGUAACAUUUUUAUUCAAACUGUCUCCAGUUAUGCCGACGUCUCCUGUUAAAGUGCGCAUCCCACUCACCAGCCUGGGUCAUCUCGUAACAGAGGUGAAGAAGCAGCUGUUUGGCAUUGAAGCCCCUGCUUCUGUGGAACUGACUGGUUUGAGGAAAUACUUUAAUAGCUACACUCUGCAGGGUCGCAGAAAUUGUGUCUUGGUUACCUACGGGAUCGUUGCUGUAACAGCAGCUGCCUACUGGAUGCACAAACAACACAAAGAAGAAAACCAGGAGUCCAACUCCACGGCCUGAAACAUCAACCUCCGUACAGUGACGUUUAUGUUCCCUAAUGAUAUGAACAAACGGAAGGAAACAAUGUAACAUUACCUCCCAGUGUAAGGAAGCUGAAUGAGGGGAAAAUGCUUGAAACAUUCAUUUAAAUAAAGAAUGAUUAUUUUGUGUAUUUCAUUAUUUGCCAUGCCCAUAUUUUUGUCAUAACGUCUGAAGUUGUUAGUGUUGACUUGUAAACAAAAAAUGCUUCUAAAGGAAAACAGAAAUAUUGAAUCUAGUGGAAUAAUUAAUGAUUUGAAAUAAAAAUGUAAUUAUUAUUGCAUUAAUAAAAGUAAGGAAAUAUAUUCAGAAGUUUGUUUUUGUUCGGCCAUAGUAUUUAGUAUAUAAGCUUAAGCUAUUUGUUAGGUCUUGGCAUGGAAAAGUUUGGGAACCCCUAUAAUAGAC
ensembl:lncRNA